CCUAAGGCCGGCGGAAGAAGCAUUGUCAAGGAACUCGGCAAAAUGGCCCCGUAACUUAGGGAUAAGGGGUGCCUGGGAAACCAGGCCGCAGAGAAUAGGCUCAAGCAACUGUUUAGCAAAAACACAGGUCUAUGCGAAACCGAAAGGUGAGGUAUAUGGGCUGACGCCUGCCCGGUGCUGGAAGGUUAAGAGGAGAGGUUAGCGCAAGCGAAGCUUUGAAUUUAAGCCCCAGUAAACGGCGGCCGUAACAAUAACGGUCCUAAGGUAGCGAAAUUCCUUGUCGGGUAAGUUCCGACCCGCACGAAAGGCGUAAUGAUUUGAGCGCUGUCUCGACAAUGCAUCCGGUGAAAUUGAAGUACCAGUGAAGAUGCUGGUUACCUGCGCCAGGACGGAAAGACCCCAUGGAGCUUUACUCCAGUUUGGUACUGGGACUCGGUAUUGCAUGUACAGGAUAGGUGGGAGGCUAGGAGAUAGUAACGCCAGUUAUUAUGGAGCCGCUGUUGGGAUACCACCCUUGCAGUAUUGGGUUUCUAACCAGCCGCCGUGACCCGGCGGUGGGACAAUGCCAGACGGGGAGUUUGACUGGGGCGGUCGCCUCCGAAAGGGUAUCGGAGGCGCCCAAAGGUUCCCUCAGAAUGGACGGAAACCAUUCGAAGAGUGCAAAGGCAGAAGGAAGCUUGACUGCGACACCGACGGGUGGAGCAGGUACGAAAGUAGGGCUUAGUGAUCCGGUGGUAUUAAGUGGGAAUGCCAUCGCUCAACGGAUAAAAGCUACCCUGGGAUAACAGGCUUAUCACUCCCAAGAGUUCACAUCGACGGAGUGGCUUGGCACCUCGAUGUCGGCUCAUCGCAUCCUGGGGCUGUAGUAGGUCCCAAGGGUUGGGCUGUUCGCCCAUUAAAGCGGUACGCGAGCUGGGUUCAGAACGUCGUGAGACAGUUCGGUCCCUAUCCGGCGUGGGCGUAGGAUAUCUGAGAGGAGCUGUCCUUAGUACGAGAGGACCGGGAUGGACGGGCCGCUGGUGCAUCGGUUAGACUGCCAAGUCUACGGCCGAGUAGCCAAGCCCGGAAGGGAUAAACGCUGAAGGCAUCUAAGCGUGAAGCCCCCCUUAAGAUGAGAUAUCCCAUUCGAAAGAAGUAAACCCCCUUGAAGACGACGAGGUAGAUAGGGCAGAGGUGGAAGUGUGGCAACACAUGGAGCUGACUGUUACUAAUCGGGUGAGGGCUUGAUCAA
rnacentral:rRNA from 1 species